rnacentral:rRNA from 1 species
UGGGGAAUAUUGCACAAUGGGCGCAAGCCUGAUGCAGCCAUGCCGCGUGUAUGAAGAAGGCCUUCGGGUUGUAAAGUACUUUCAGCGGGGAGGAAGGGAGUAAAGUUAAUACCUUUGCUCAUUGACGUUACCCGCAGAAGAAGCACCGGCUAACUCCGUGCCAGCAGCCGCGGUAAUACGGAGGGUGCAAGCGUUAAUCGGAAUUACUGGGCGUAAAGCGCACGCAGGCGGUUUGUUAAGUCAGAUGUGAAAUCCCCGCGCUCAACCUGGGAACUGCAUCUGAGACUGGCAAGCUGUAGUCUUGUAGAGGGGGGUAGAAUUCCAGGUGUAGCGGUGAAAUGCGUAGAGAUCUGGAGGAAUACCGGUUGCGAAGGCGGCCCCCUGGACAAAGACUGACGCUCAGGUGCGAAAGCGUGGGGAGCAAACAGG